rnacentral:misc_RNA from 1 species
GAAAUGCGAUAAGUAAUGUGAAUUGCAGACGCUUUGAACGCCAAACUUUCGAACGCACAUUGCGCCAUAGGAGUCUUACCCUAUGGCACAUCUGGUUGAGGGUCGUGAUCAAACACAGCAGGACAGCAGCUGUAAUAGAGCUAGUUGGCGAAUCAUCAGACCGGCAUACGCCUUAUUGCCGGGGGUGUUUUGUCAUAAUGCUUUAGAGGGUCCUUCCUUACCACAGGGAUGGGCAGCCAAUUCGACUGACUUGUGGUCCGGCCUCCGGGUAUUGUACAAACGUCUAACGUAUAUACUCGGUUGGUUGUGAGGCCGUCGCUUGGCUUAACCUAUACGUGCCUGGUAGUAGAUUCCGUUAUAAACGGAUUUCCCGACCUCAACUCAGGUGUGAUUACCCGCUGAAAUUAA